AUUGAACGCUGGCGGCAGGCCUAACACAUGCAAGUCGAGCGAGAGGCGGACGGGUGUGAGAUGUAUGGGGGCUGUGCGUUAGAGGGGGGUAACUACUGGGAACGCUAGCUAAUACCGCAUACUACAGGAUAGUCCAUAUGGGAUUAGCGAGUAGGUGGGGUAAUGGCUCACCUAGGCGACGAUCCCUAGCUGGUCUGAGAGGAUGAUCAGCCACACUGGGACUGAGACACGGCCCAGACUCCUACGGAGGCAGCAGUGGGGAAUAUUGCACAAUGGGCGCAAGCCUGAUGCAGCCAUGCCGCGUGUAUGAAGAAGGCCUUAGGGUUGUAAAGUACUUUCAGUCGGGAGGCGUUACCGACAGAAGAAGCACCGGCUAACUCCGUGCCAGCAGCCGCGGUAAUUC
rnacentral:rRNA from 1 species